AUGUUUACUCCAGAACCACCUGGGAGAAAUGCUGUCAAGAGGCUUAUUAAUACUUUUAACCAAGGGGUGGAGGACAAUUCAAGACAAAGUCCUUUAGACCAAAAACCAAUAAGAGUAAGGGGCAACAAGAAAUGCACUCUCCCACAGCUACAGAACAGCAGAGGAGCUCUUACCACCAGCGGAAAUAUCAAGAGUAGCAUCCAUCCGCUUGAGCCCAGACCUGAGCAACUGGAUAUAGACAGCCUCCCACCUCCACCCCCAGAGAUGCUCAUGGACAACUCAUUUGAAAGCAGUUUAGGGUUGCCCACUGAGGAUGGGGCUCAUGAUUUACAGUGCAGAGGACAAAGACUACGCACUUCAAUGCAAAGAGAGACUGUGCUCCCCAACCGGGGCAGUGUGCAGCGAGGCUCCAUGAGCUUCUCAGCUACUCAGCCUGUGAGGCAAGAUGCUUUGCCAGGUUCCAGCACUGAACAGGAAUACAAAAAAGUGACUGAGCUGGAUUCUGAAAGAGAAGCAGCACACACCCUUGACCAGAAAUUUCGAAAAGUUGUUCAUCUAUCCGCUGAUUCUUCAGCCAAGACAGCCCCGGCUAAUGCAGGUAUGCACGGUUCCAUGCCUUAUCAAGAAUGUGAAAACCAUAAUGAAGGCGAGACUGCAAGUAUUCAAGCAAAAACAUUUCCUCCAACAACUCCACCUGUCUCGAGAGCACGGCUUCCACCCUCCUGCCCCACUGUGCGCCACGCAGUGCCAAGUCCUCCAUCCACAGCCUGCCCCCCGAGCACGAAGUGGACUCCAUCCACAACAUCUGCCACCUCUAGUAUACACAGAUGUGCGAUGGCUGAAGAAAACAGCCUCCAUGCUUCUGGGACACAAUCAUUUUGUGAAGCUCGGGCUGUGUUCUGUAAGGAGAGCAAAUCACUCCCUCACACACUGACGCAUUCAUGUACGUCUACAUUACCUCGGCCAUGGGGAGAACCUGCCAGAGGAAGACCGACAACUACUCGUCUUCAACCUUCUUUUAUGGGACGCAGUCCAUCAGGUCAAAGGUCAUCCCAUAGUGAGCAGCCACAGUUGUUGCCUAAUGCCAAACAACAACAGGGCCAGGUCAAUGACGUCACACCUUUGACCAGUGAGGGGACAACCACGGCGUCCAUGAGAGCAGACGACAGCGGCACAGACUCGGAGCCGUCCACUGCUGAUCUGAUCUGAACACACACAGCGGGUUUGUGGUGACCACAAGUUACAAGAACUGUAACAACCACCAUAAAAGCAGCAGGACAUGUCCACUGGUCUUCAGAAGAGGUGUAUACUGCUCCUCUAGAAACACUAGAAGCUAAACAGCGCCACCUACAGGACAGCAGUCAGAAGGACACUGACUACACGUCUCCGUUCAUCUCAGUAGCAUCAGCUUAAAGGCUGUGUGUUUGUUGAGAAGAAAGAAGACUGCACACAACACAUCUUGACACAUCUCUUCUGAACAGCAGCAUGUUCACAGACAGUGUACUGCUGAUCGGGUAUUUCAGACAGAUGUUUACCUUGAGUAAGAAGAAAGUCAUAUACAGCUAGGAUGGCUUGAGGGUGAGUAAAUCAUGGGAUAUUUUCAUUUUUGGGUGAACUGUCCCUUUGGGACGUGGCAAGCCAAACCAUCAGAGAGCAGCGAUGAGAGGAAGCAGUGCGUGAAUGAAUGGAUUGCUUCAGAUAUAAACUGAUUAGGUUGUGUGUCAUUUUGAAGGACACGUGUGAAAAUGUUUUUGAGUACAUUUCUUAAAGCCACACAAAAGAAUCAAAGAAUCGUGUAAGACGCAGUAAACUUGAGAUUAUGACUUGUGACGUCAGAAAAAACAAAAACAAAAAUAAACAAACAUGAAUAUGAUAACAUACAUAUGCAUAACACUAAAUUUGUAAUAUAAUUUUUUAAUUAAAAAAAAUAUUCAUUAGACAUUGUUUUUUAAUGUUUGUAUUAAACACAGACCAUUACUUUAUUCAUGAUUUCUGCUGUUGCAGGCUUAUUUUGUAAAUGUAAGCGUUUGAAAUUUUAGACAAAUGCAAACUUGGUGCUUAAUGAAAAAUUUGUCACAUUUACAGAAUCAGGUGAUUGUUUUCAUGCAUCUAUACAAAUACAUAGAGACAGAAGAAUGAGGUGCAUCACUGUCAGCAUCAGCUUAGUGCAUUUGUGAAGACACUGAUUAAUGAAUGCUUUGAGCAAAUAGUAUUAAAUACUAUCUAAACGAAUUCCAAUUUUAACCUUUAAAUUUUAAUAUUUGAAUAAACUUUAUAUACAACAAAAUAAGCUUUACAUGAAAUAUAAAGUUUUUUUCCCCCUAUAGGGAAAAUAAAAACGAAAUAAAUGAAAAUGAAAGUUUCUAAGCAAUUGUACACACACACACACACACACACACACACACACACACACACACACACACACACACACACACACGACACACACACAAGCUGUAUUUGUUUUUAAACAUUUUUCCCACACAGUAUUUUGUAUUUUUAUUUUAAACAGAUUUUCAUGUAUUUGUGCGCAUCUCUGGUAUUACUGCGCAGGACAGGACAGAAGAUGUCACGUGGUACCUGCUUACUGUAAUAUUAACUAUCACUGGAGGAUUCGUGCGGAUCUACAGUUACAGUGCUGCUUCCGGCCUCCAGAGCGCGCUGCGCGUUCCGCUGUCAGAGCCGCACAUCAACAUCCGGGUCACGGCCGUCGCGGUCAGUGUCGCUCCAGGAGGCGCUCAGCAUCAAAACAGCGGCGUUUUUAACUGAAUCCACGGCGUUUCCUGCGACCCGACCGUCAGGUGAUCAAUAGUCUGGAGCGGCGGGAGAGUCGGGCGCAGCU
rnacentral:lncRNA from 1 species